rnacentral:rRNA from 1 species
UGUUAAGCAAGACGUGAAAUCCCCGGGCUUAACCUGGGAAUGGCGUUUUGAACUGGCAGUCUAGAGUGCGUCAGAGGGGGGUGGAAUUCCACGUGUAGCAGUGAAAUGCGUAGAGAUGUGGAGGAACACCGAUGGCGAAGGCAGCCCCCUGGGAUGACACUGACGCUCAUGUACGAAAGCGUGGGUAGCAAACAGGAUUAGAUACCCUGGUAGUCCACGCCCUAAACGAUGUCAACUGGUUGUUGGGGGAGUGAAAUCCCUUAGUAACGAGGCUAACGCGUGAAGUUGACCGCCUGGGGAGUACGGUCGCAAGAUUAAAACUCAAAGGAAUUGACGGGGACCCGCACAAGCGGUGGAUGAUGUGGAUUAAUUCGAUGCAACGCGAAAAACCUUACCUACCCUUGACAUGUCCGGAAUCCUGCAGAGAUGCGGGAGUGCUCGAAAGAGAACCGGAACACAGGUGCUGCAUGGCUGUCGUCAGCUCGUGUCGUGAGAUGUUGGGUUAAGUCCCGCAACGAGCGCAACCCUUGUCAUUAAUUGCCAUCAUUCAGUUGGGCACUUUAAUGAGACUGCCGGUGACAAACCGGAGGAAGGUGGGGAUGACGUCAAGUCCUCAUGGCCCUUAUGGUAGGGCUUCACACGUAAUACAAUGGUCGGUACAGAGGGUUGCCAAGCCGCGAGGUGGAGCCAAUCCCAGAAAGCCGAUCGUAGUCCGGAUUGGAGUCUGCAACUCGACUCCAUGAAGUCGGAAUCGCUAGUAAUCG